UUUGGAAUUGAACAAGUUGGUCAAGCCAUCAGCCUCCUCAGUCUCCAGUGGAGACUCUCCACCCCUUGACGUCUCCAUCUUGUUCAAUACACGCUCUUUUGCACGACGAAUUCAAUUUGAAUUUAUACUGAUAAGUCUGAUGACUCGUUGUUUUACAAUUUUGUGUGCAGUUUAAAACACUAGUAAACGACUUGCAAAGACCAAAUAACCUUUCUCUCCCUCUCUCUCUGGAGAUUUUCUAGUGUGCACCAGUGGCGGUGUAUGCAUCCACGAUCAUUGAAUUCUUUAACUGUUGGUUCAUUGACUUUACAUCUAAAGCUCCAUUCAUCUUGAACAUGUCAAACAGAUAACGGUGAAGAUGUACCUUCGAAGAUUCCAAAUUUCUCAUCAAGGUGGUGUUGAUCUGAUACUUUUUACAGAAUCUUUUUGAGAUAAUAUAGGAGCAGAAUUUAUGGUUACUGUGAAGGGAAUCAGCAACCUAUGCGAAGGGAGAUCGCUGAGGCUGCAACUGAACAAGGAUCAUAAAUGCCUACAAGGACGCACACCAGAAGGAGGAUGUCCAGUCAAGUAAAAUGCAAACAACUCGAAACUAUGCAAAAUACGCUCUUCAAGUAAUAACGUAACUAGAAACUGAUAUACAUGUUGCUCUUGAC